AUUGUAUGUCCACAAUUGUACACUUGUACACUGGGAUGUGACAUAUAUUAUUUCUGUUUUAUCAUUUAGUCAUCAAAGGAUGAUUUCUUAUUAAUAUAAUUCAAAAUUCAUUAUAUGGGAGAUUUUAAUUUACUACAUCCCUUGACUUUUUGGAGAUAUUAUACAUAUUGUUUUAUAGGAAACUCUCUUUGUAGUCUUCACUAUGUUUUUUAUUCC